AGAAGGAGAAAGGAAAAGGGGAAGAAGAAGAAUAAAGAAGAAGGGAAAUUGACCGUAGAGCUUCACUGGAGCUGGGUCUUGUAUUCUAAGCUUGGAUUUAUGAUCAGCUCAUCAAGGUCUUCGAUUCGAGGAUUUAGAAGAAGUGUUGAUGAAGAUCUAGAGUAUCUUGAGGUUCUUGAGCAAAAGAAGUGAAAUUUGAGGUUUCAUUAGUAUUCUUGAGGAAGAGGUUACACUCAAUAUAUGCAUACCCACACAUCGAAUCUUUUUUGUACCGGGUACAAGCACCGUGUACAUAUACA